rnacentral:rRNA from 1 species
UAAGGAAUAUUGCGCAAUGGGCGAAAGCCUGACGCAGCAACGCCGCGUGCCCGAUGAAGGCCUUCGGGUUGUAAAGGGCUUUUAAGAGCGAGGAGGAAGGACAGUAGCUCUUGAAUAAGUGUCGGCUAACUACGUGCCAGCAGCCGCGGUAAAAACGUAGGACACGAGCGUUAUCCGGAUUUACUGGGCGUAAAGGGCUGGCAGGCGGCUUCGCAAGUUGGACGUGAAAGCUCUCGGCUUAACCGGGAGAGGCCGUUCGAGACUGCGAGGCUAGAGGGCAGUAGAGGGGCGUGGAAUUCCGGGUGGAGUGGUGAAAUGCGUAGAGAUCCGGAGGAACCUCAGAGGCGAAAGCGGCGCUCUGGGCUGGCAUCUGACGCUGAACAGCGAAAGCUAGGGUAGCGAACGGGAUUAGAAACCCCGGUAGUCCUAGCGGUAAACGAUGAUAACUGGGUAUGGGGGAGAAAAAGACCUCCGUGCCGGAGCAAAACGCGGUAAAGUUAUCCGCCUGGGGAGUACGACCGC